rnacentral:rRNA from 1 species
AACGAACGCUGGCGGCGUGCCUAAUACAUGCAAGUCGAACGAGCAAGGGGCUUCGGUUCCGCGUAAAGUGUCGCACGGGUGAGUAACACGUGGGUAAGCUGCCCCUCAGAUUGGGAUAAAUUGUCGAAAGAUGAGCUAAUACCGAAUAAGACCACAGUUCCAGCGGGAACAGGGGUUAAAGGUAGCCUCUGCUUGCAAGCUAUCUCUUAGAGAUGGGCCUGCGGUCCCUUAGCUAAGUGGUAGGGUAACGGCCUACCAAGGCAAAGAUGGUGAACUGGUCUGGAGGGAUGAUAAGCCAAACCUGGAAUGAAGCACGGUCCAAGAUCCUAAGGGAAGCAGCAGUGAGGAAAAUUGCGCAAAGGGCGGAAGGUUUGCGGGACAACGCCGCGUGAGGGGAUGAGGCCUUCGGGUCGUAAAGCUCCGUCGGGAAGAAAAAAUGCUCUUGGGAUUAACAUCCUCAGGAGUUGACGGUACCUUCAAAGAAAGCACCGGCUAACUCUGUG